rnacentral:lncRNA from 1 species
GCUAAGGUGAAGAGACUUGGAAGGUCUCGGUAGUUAUCAUUGGACACAAUGAUGCCAUCAGAAUCAAAAGCCAGUUUGACUAUGAACCGGUCAUCAUAGCAGACAACCCUCCUGCCUUGGACUCUUCGGGAUGGUGUGAAGACAAGAAUCUUUUCCUUCUCCAGUUUUCGUAGAAUAUCUUGAUCUGUCAAAAUAUGAUUAUAUGCCACAGAGCAGAAAUCAUCUUUGGAAAUUAACAGUAUUACCCCAAUAUUAAAAAUGCAAAAGUUGGUACUGGAUGAAGAUAUUAUUUGCUCUUAGAGGGAAAGUAGGCCCUGUUCCUGGCUAUGAUAUCAAUCUGGAUUAUGACCUUAGGCAAGUCAUCUUCCCCUUUGGACUUCAGUCUUCUUUUUGAUAAAAUGAAGGAACUGGAUUCAAUGACAUUUGAGUUUUAAAAACUACCAUGAAGAGUGAGAGUGACACUGAUAUCUUAGCAUUCUUGAUGCUUGUUUUGCCCUUUGGCCAAAGCACCAGCUUUUUGGUUGUUGAUUUCUAACAGGGAAAUACUGAGGAUGUGUCUGCCAGGAGGAAACUAAAGCAUCUCUCCUAGGCACUUACAUUUUUGGCUUCUGCCUGAGGGAAGACCAAAACUAGGGUGAAACAUCAAGAUAUAGCAACUGAGUGCUGACCCCCUUUCCUUUUGGUCUCCUAGUUGCCGAGGCAAGAAAGCUUGCUGGCUGGGCUUGAGCAGGGCUAGGAUCUAUUCUCAGACUGAGGCUCAAGAGCCUGUUCAGCAGAUGGCAAAUAGCUUCACACACAGCUCAGACAGCCAUUCACGGGACUUUCUCAUUAGGCACAUCAGGCAACAGCUGAUGCUCAGAAGACUGUUGUAAAUGAAUGUAGAGACCCCUCUGCCGUUAGGACUGCAUCAUGACUUUUGAAAACCUUAGGCAUUUUUGCUUUCCUAGGCUCCUUCCUCCAUAAGAAAUGUUAAAUAUUGGCUGGGCGUGGUGGCUUAUGCCUGUAAUCCUAGCACUUUGGGAGGCUGAGGCGGGCAGAUAGCUUGAGCCCAGGAGUUCAAGACCAGCUUGGGCAACAUGGCAAAACUCCAUCUCUACUAAAAAUACAAAAAUUAGCUAGGCGCAGUGGUACAUGCCUGUAGUCCCAGGUACUCAGGAGGCUGAGGUGGGAGAAAAACCUGAGCCCAGGGAGGUAGAGGCUGCAGUGAGCCAUGAUCACACCAUGGCAUUCUAGCCUAGGUGACAGAGUGAGACCCUGUCUCAAACAAAGAUAAAUAUUAAAUAUUAAAAAUUUCGUUUUCAAUUGCUUCAGUAUAAAGCCAAGGAUAACCCAGCUAGAUACAUCAUUGUACAUGCAUUGCUGUUAUAUUCAAUUUUUUCUUCUGAUGUGAGAAGAAAAUAAAAUUAAGACAUUUCCAUGGGACCUUAGCAAUAUCAUUGGCCCUAGGUGCCAGACCUACUGUGUCUCAUGGAUAAGUUGGCUCUGACUGCUGUGGGACUUUUCUUUCUCUCUAUUUUAUUCCCUAAUUUGCAAACCCCACAAUCACUUCUUUGGUACAGAAUGAGAUCCAUUGUCCACCAUGGUGUUUUUACUCUCUUGAAAACUUAGUCAUGCUCAUAACCAGAUUCAUCACCCUUUAGUCUGAAGUCUAUGGUCAAAUAGAAAAGCACUCCUUUUUUUUGAAACUAUGUGCUUUAUCUUUUGCCGAAUUGAAGUUUUCUUUAUUUAACUGUCAGAUGCUACAAAAUAAUGAUGACUUUCUUUGAAUCUUUUUUCAAAUAUAUGCUUAAUAAAAAUACUUUAAAUAUACUUAACAACUUUGAAAAAUAAAUAUCUAAAUUGGGACCAUCCCCAAACUAUCUUUCCAGAUUUGCCUCUAGAUGAGAAGAAAUGUCUUAUUUGACACAAUACCUGUAAUUGGUGCAUCAGGGCGGGAUUGCUCCUUUCUCCAUGCAGGCACAAAUACAGUAAUAUCUUUAUGGCCUUUAUCUAGAAACCAAUCCACAGCAAGUUGUAUUCCUCUGCAGGAGAAUUCUUCUUUAUUCCCAUGGCUUAGGAAGAUACAGAAUAAGAGGAGAGAAGAUUGAUAAUAGAUAGCAAAGAAAUAUCUGAAGCAGGCUUUUUCUUAGUACCAAGGUAUUAAUAAUAGACAUUUACAUUCUUUUCUUUCUUUCUCUCUUUCUUUCUUCCUUUUGCUUCUUUUCUUUUCUUUUUUUUCUUUUUUUUUUUUUUUUGGUCUCACUUUUUCUCCCAGGCUGGAGUACAGUGGCACAAUCUCGGCUCACUGCAACAUCCACCUCCUGGGUUCAAGUGAUUCUCCUGCUUCCACCUCCUGAGUAGCUGGAACUACAGAUGCAC